UACAGAGGUCUCAAGCGUUGUUCGGAUUCAUUGGGCGUAAAGGGUGCGUAGGCGGCGCGGUAAGUCGGGUGUGAAAUUUCGAGGCUUAACUUCGAAACUGCAUUCGAUACUGCCGUGCUUGAGGACUGGAGAGGAGACUGGAAUUUACGGUGUAGCGGUGAAAUGCGUAGAUAUCGUAAGGAAGACCAGUGGCGAAGGCGGGUCUCUGGGACGGUACUGACGCUGAGACGCGAAAGCGUGGGGAGCGAACAGG
rnacentral:rRNA from 1 species